AUCUUUGCGCUUGGGGCAAUGACGCAGCUAAUGAGGUUCUAACCGAGGCGCGUCUAUUGCUGGUUGAAAACUAUUUCCAAACCCCCUCCUAGGCCUAAGCUUGUCUUGGGCCUUCGAGAAUUUCUGGAAGGGCUCCCUUUGGGGUAAAGCCCUACAA
rnacentral:snRNA from 1 species